AUUGAACGCUGGCGGCAUGCCUUACACAUGCCAGUCGAACGGCAGCGCGGACUUCGGUCUGGCGGCGAGUGGCGAACGGGUGAGUAAUACAUCGGAACGUACCCUGUUGUGGGGGAUAACUAGUCGAAAGAUUAGCUAAUACCGCAUACGACCUGAGGGUGAAAGUGGGGGACCGGAAACGGCCUCAUGCAGCCGGAGCGGCCGAUGUCUGAUUAGCUAGUUGGUGGGGUAAAGGCCCACCAAGGCGACGAUCAGUAGCUGGUCUGAGAGGACGAUCAGCCACACUGGGAAUGAGACACGGCCCAGACUCCUACGGGAGGCAGCAGUGGGGAAUUUUGGACAAUGGGGGCAACCCUGAUCCAGCAAUGCCGCGUGUGUGAAGAAGGCCUUCGGGUUGUAAAGCACUUUUGUCCGGAAAGAAAUCGCGCUGGUUAAUACCUGGCGUGGAUGACGGUACCGGAAGAAUAAGCACCGGCUAACUACGUG
rnacentral:rRNA from 1 species